GAGGAAAAGAAACUAACAAGGAUUCCCCUAGUAACGGCGAGUGAAGCGGGAAGAGCUCAAAUUUGAAAUCUGGUAGCCUUCGGCUGCCCGAGUUGUAAUCUAGAGAAGUGUUUUCCGUGCCGGCCCAUGUACAAGUCCCUUGGAACAGGGCGUCAUAGAGGGUGAGAAUCCCGUCCUUGACAUGGACCCCCGGUGCUUUGUGAUACACUUUCAACGAGUCGAGUUGUUUGGGAAUGCAGCUCAAAAUGGGUGGUGAAUUCCAUCUAAAGCUAAAUAUUGGCGAGAGACCGAUAGCGAACAAGUACCGUGAGGGAAAGAUGAAAAGCACUUUGGAAAGAGAGUUAAACAGUACGUGAAAUUGUUGAAAGGGAAACGAUUGAAGUCAGUCAUGCUCUUUGGAUUCAGCCGUUCUGCGGUGUAUUUCCAUUGAGUGGGGUCAACAUCAGUUUUGACCGCUGGAUAAAGGCACUAGGAAGGUAGCACUCUCGGGUGAACUUAUAGCCUAGCGUCAUAUACAGUGGUUGGGACUGAGGAACGCAGCAUGCCUUUAUGGCCGGGAUUCGUCCACGUACAUGCUUAGGAUGUUGACAUAAUGGCUUUAAACGACCCGUCUU
rnacentral:rRNA from 1 species